AAGUUCUUUCUAUAUCUUUAAAAUUUGUCACUUUGGCCUCCUUAAUCUAUUUAAGGAGGCCGCA